UACGGAGGGGACUAGCGUUGUUCGGAAUUACUGGGCGUAAAGAGUUCGUAGGCGGAUAAGCAAGUAAGAGGUGAAAGCCCAGGGCUCAACCUUGGGAACUGCCUUUAAACUGCUUAUCUAGAGACCGGUAGAGGUUAGGGGAAUACCUAGUGUAGAGGUGAAAUUCGUAGAUAUUAGGUGGAACACCAGUGGCGAAAGGCGCCUAACUGGACCGGUACUGACGCUGAGGAACGAAAGCGUGGGGAGCAAACAGGAUUAGAUACCCCGUAGUC
rnacentral:rRNA from 1 species